GACGAACGCUGGCGGCGUGCUUAACACAUGCAAGUCGAAUGGAAAGGCCCUGCUUUUGUGGGGUGCUCGAGUGGCGAACGGGUGAGUAACACGUGAGUAACCUGCCCUUGACUUUGGGAUAACUUCAGGAAACUGGGGCUAAUACCGGAUAGGAGCUCCUGCUGCAUGGUGGGGGUUGGAAAGUUUCGGCGGUUGGGGAUGGACUCGCGGCUUAUCAGCUUGUUGGUGGGGUAGUGGCUUACCAAGGCUUUGACGGGUAGCCGGCCUGAGAGGGUGACCGGCCACAUUGGGACUGAGAUACGGCCCAGACUCCUACGGGAGGCAGCAGUGGGGAAUAUUGCACAAUGGGCGGAAGCCUGAUGCAGCAACGCCGCGUGCGGGAUGACGGCCUUCGGGUUGUAAACCGCUUUCGCCUGUGAUGAAGCGUGAGUGACGGUAAUGGGUAAAGAAGCACCGGCUAACUACGUG
rnacentral:rRNA from 1 species